rnacentral:sRNA from 1 species
AUUAGCUCUAUCAGACGCUUGGGUGAUAGGAGGUAUGAUGCAGCUUUUCAAGUUUGGCUUGCAGCCCAAGCUUGAUUAACUCGCAUCUAAUUGUUCGGACUACAAAAUUUUUGAAAAAAUCUUUAAAUUUUUCUCUCGAUAAACCGUUCCGUCAGUUGUAAAAAUGCUAUUUUUUCUUUGAAUAUAAUUUAACAUUAGAUUCAAAAAAAAGAUAAAAAAUUAGCUCUAUUAAAUUAUUAAUACGUAAACGUAACUGUAAGUUGGUCCAC